rnacentral:rRNA from 1 species
CCUACGGGAGGCAGCAGUGAGGAAUAUUGGUCAAUGGACGAGAGUCUGAACCAGCCAAGUAGCGUGAAGGAUGACUGCCCUAUGGGUUGUAAACUUCUUUUAUAUGGGAAUAAAAUGUUCCACGUGUGGCUUUUUGUAUGUACCAUAUGAAUAAGGAUCGGCUAACUCCGUGCCAGCAGCCGCGGUAAUACGGAGGAUCCGAGCGUUAUCCGGAUUUAUUGGGUUUAAAGGGAGCGUAGGUGGGUUGUUAAGUCAGUUGUGAAAGUUUGCGGCUCAACCGUAAAAUUGCAGUUGAAACUGGCAGUCUUGAGUACAGUAGAGGUGGGCGGAAUUCGUGGUGUAGCGGUGAAAUGCUUAGAUAUCACGAAGAACUCCGAUUGCGAAGGCAGCUCACUGGACUGCAACUGACACUGAUGCUCGAAAGUGUGGGUAUCAAACAGGAUUAGAUACCCCAGUAGUC